GUCAGUCCUCGGAAAGAGCCGGUAACGAAGGCCGGCCAGCCCAGUUCUAGGACAGGCGGUUCAACAUCGGACUGCAAUGGGAAGUAGGCUGGAACGGCUCCCGCCUCGCCUCUCGGGGGGAGGGGAAGCCUCACUGAUUGGCUGCAUAUCGGAGCGGCUGGUCCAAUCCCGAGAGGAAGAAAGGAGUUUCUUGGAGAUUUAAAAAACAACCAUCCUUCCAAGCUCUCGACUUCAGCAGAUACCCGUCGCUCAGGCCCGGGGCUUGGGCGCGGUGGGGCAAUCUUUAUGCUCUUCGACCAGGCUCCCCUGAAGCUGAUGUUAGGAGAAGAUUCAAAACAGAUGCCAUUCUAGCUCUUUCCUCCCACCACAUCAUGCCACAGGUAAUAACAAUUUUGGAGAAGAGAAAAGCAAUUUAACUGUGUUAACUGGCUCUGAAGGAAAAGACUGGACUAAUUUUCCUCCCCAAAUCCCUAGUGAGAUGGCCUCACUCCUAAUUACACAACUGUACCAUGAUUUCAGCAGAGCAAAAAGUGUGACCAUAAAACCCCUGGAGAAAUGGGCAAAAAACUUUCUCUCUAGUUCAACAUUAAUGAUGUAUAUAGCAGCCAUUCAAAAAGCAAGCAGAAGUUAAAGGCAACAGCUAUCUUCCAUAUUAUUCCAGAGCAGUGUUUAUUUAAAGAUGCCACCUUUGAUUCUGGAGAUAAUUUACAGUUGUCAAGCCCAGCAGUCUAAUCUCUAGGGAUUUUCCUUUGAAGCUGCUUAGAAUGAUGCCCACCAUUCACUAUUAGUAGGGAAUUCUACAGUUUAUGAAUGAAACAAGAUCUUUUAUUGGUCUAGAAUUCCACUCCUUAUUUAGAUUCACUGGAUAAUAUGGGGAAAUCUUUUUUUAUGGCACAGGGUAAUGUCUAUUAUGUUUUAGUAAGACCCUAGUAAUAUUGUACAAUAUGUAUUUCAUUAGAACUGCACUCAUGCUAUUAAAAAUCAUGCAUUGUCAAAGUCAGCAUCAGCAUUUAUGAAUAUAUAGGACCAUUCUUAUAAAGUCAUUUCAUUUAUUCUGUUUUAUGCAUUACAUUUCGCAUCAUUAUUUGAAUGUAUUUUCUAAAUCACAUAAUGCAGAAUUCACCAUGAACAAGUUAACGGUAAUAAAAAUAUAAGGAAAAUAUGAUUAUUGAUUUCCCUUGCUCUGUUAUUAUAUUGAGUUUGUAAUUCCAGUUCAAUCUUUGACAUAGCCUCCCAUCGUCCAGUGCAAUCCCACAGAGUUGGCCUCCUCAGGGUGCCGUUGGCCAGACAGUGUC